rnacentral:rRNA from 1 species
GCAAGUCGUACGUGAAAGCUUCCUUCGGGAAGUGAUUAAAGUGGCGCACGGGUGAGUAACACGUGGAUAAUCUACCCGAAAGUCAGGGAUAACAUUUCGAAAGGCAUGUUAAUAGCUGAUAAGCCUACGCCAUCCUCGGAGGAAGUAGGAAAAGGUGGGGACCUUCGGGCCUGCCGUUGUUGGAUAGGUCCGCGGCCCAUUAGCUAGUUGGUAGGGUAAUGGCCUACCAAGGCUACGAUGGGUAGCUGGUCUGAGAGGAUGAUC